GUGCUCGCUUCGGCAGCACAUAUUCUAAAAUUGGAAAGAUACAAAGAAUGGUUGGAACUAUUAGCACGGCCACUGUGCAAGGGUGAUAUGCAAAUUCAUGAAGCAUUCCAUUCCAUU
rnacentral:snRNA from 1 species